UUGCCCUCCUUUGGACACUCUCUAACAGCUUAAUAUCUUUUUUAUAUUGUGGUGCCCAAAACUGCCAGAAUAUUCAAGGUGAGGCUGCCCCAGUGCAAAGCGGAGUGGGACAAUCCCCCCCACCAUUGACCAGCUGGUGAUGCUUUGCCUGACGCCCCCCAGGACACGGUUGGCCCUCCUGGCUGCCAGGGCACUGCUGCCUCAUUCCAAGUU